GAGUGAACGCUGGCGGUAGGCCUAACACAUGCAAGUCGAACGGCAGCACAGUAAGAGCUUGCUCUUACGGGUGGCGAGUGGCGGACGGGUGAGGAAUACAUCGGAAUCUACUUUUUCGUGGGGGAUAACGUAGGGAAACUUACGCUAAUACCGCAUACGACCUACGGGUGAAAGCAGGGGAUCUUCGGACCUUGCGCGAUUGAAUGAGCCGAUGUCGGAUUAGCUAGUUGGCGGGGUAAAGGCCCACCAAGGCGACGAUCCGUAGCUGGUCUGAGAGGAUGAUCAGCCACACUGGAACUGAGACACGGUCCAGACUCCUACGGGAGGCAGCAGUGGGGAAUAUUGGACAAUGGGCGCAAGCCUGAUCCAGCCAUACCGCGUGGGUGAAGAAGGCCUUCGGGUUGUAAAGCCCUUUUGUUGGGAAAGGAAAGCAGCAGGUUAAUACCCCGCUGUUCCGACGGUACCCAAAGAAUAAGCACCGGCUAACUUCGUG
rnacentral:rRNA from 1 species